rnacentral:rRNA from 1 species
CGGACGGGUGAGUAAUGUCUGGGAAACUGCCUGAUGGAGGGGGAUAACUACUGGAAACGGUAGCUAAUACCGCAUAACGUCGCAGGACCAAAGAGGGGGACCUUCGGGCCUCUUGCCAUCGGAUGUGCCCAGAUGGGAUUAGCUAGUAGGUGGGGUAACGGCUCACCUAGGCGACGAUCCCUAGCUGGUCUGAGAGGAUGACCAGCCACACUGGAACUGAGACACGGUCCAG